UACAGAGACUGCAAGCGUUAUUCGGAUUCACUGGGCGUAAAGGGCGCGUAGGCGGUCGUGACAAGUCACUUGUGAAAUCUCCGGGCUUAACUCGGAACGGUCAAGUGAUACUGUCGGACUAGAGUACAGAAGGGGCAACUGGAAUUCUCGGUGUAGCGGUGAAAUGCGUAGAUAUCGAGAGGAACACCUGCGGCGAAGGCGGGUUGCUGGGCUGAUACUGACGCUGAUGCGCGAAAGCCAGGGGAGCGAACGGG
rnacentral:rRNA from 1 species